UCUCGGAUAGCUUAGUCGGCAGAGCGCCGUGCUUAUAACGCGGAGGUCGAGAGUUCGAUCCUCUCUCUGAGAA